rnacentral:rRNA from 1 species
GACGAACGCUGGCGGCGUGCUUAACACAUGCAAGUCGAACGGAAAGGCCCUGCUUGCAGGGUACUCGAGUGGCGAACGGGUGAGUAACACGUGGGUGAUCUGCCCUGCACUUCGGGAUAAGCUUGGGAAACUGGGUCUAAUACCGGAUAGGAACCAUCUUUAGUGUGGUGGUUGGAAAGUUUUUUCGGUGUAGGAUGAGCUCGCGGCCUAUCAGCUUGUUGGUGGGGUAAUGGCCUACCAAGGCGGCGACGGGUAGCCGGCCUGAGAGGGUGUACGGCCACAUUGGGACUGAGAUACGGCCCAGACUCCUACGGGAGGCAGCAAUGGGGAAUAUUGCACAAUGGGCGCAAGCCUGAUGCAGCGACGCCGCGUGGGGGAUGAAGGCCUUCGGGUUGUAAACUCCUUUCGCUAGGGACGAAGCUUUGUUGUGACGGUACCUAGAGAAGAAGCACCGGCUAACUACGUG